ACAAUUCAGCUUUACUGUUGAAUUGUCCUCACAUCUCUGAAGACAAACUUUAAAAGAAGUAUGUUACAGCUCUUGGCAUUUUCCAGUCCUUAAGAAAAAUUUGUUGAUUUGCUUUUCUUGCAAAAAAAUGCAACUCAAAAUCAGCUAUUACAAGCUAAUUUAACCCACAGCAUUCCUGCAGCCUGGUACCUUUCUGAUAACACGGCGUGAGGGUUUGGGUGGAUUUGUUUUUCUCAUGUUUACUUUAAAUCAAGUCAGUCUGUUUUUCUCUUUCACUUCUGCUGCUCGUCGAUGUGUGAGGCAGCAUUUUAGCUCAAAGUGCCCACGACUAACAGCAGGAGCUACCACUCACAGCAUAAACAGCUGGGAUUCUCCAUUGCUGCCCCCGUGUCUCCUCUGCCCACAGCCCCACGCAGCUCCAGGUCUCACCCCUUGGGGUUAAGGUGAUGUUCCUGCUGAGUUGCCUUGUGCAGUUGAGCUUCUUAUCCUUUCUUCGAAGCAAUGUGACCACAUAGUAAACUGUUUUUGAGGAGUGUUUGCUGUUUGAGGUUACAAGAUGAAACCACAGAGUUCCUUAUCUUGUCUUUCUGCAUCUGUUUUUACAUGAGCUAGCAGAGCAAAAGAGCAACGCAGUAACAACCGAAAACUCCUUUUUUCCCUCUCCCCACCCAUAUUUUGAAGCCACAGGAGAAGUCUCCUGUAGGAUCCAGCUGCUGGCUCUCUCUGGCUUUUUUUGUCUGCAGAUCAGUGUGGUGCUGGCACCCUCUUCUCAAAUAGCUGGAGUCAGACGUGGAGCUCAGCACGCUGUUUCCUGGAACAGAUCCCCAAGUACCACAGAUAACUGUCUCAAGUUAAUGCUCCAGAUUGGGCAGCUCUUCGGGGUUUUAUUUUUGUUUAAGAAAAGUAUUUGCCAAGAAUAGGCAUAUUUGCUGAUCUGGAAUUUUCCUUGGACAUUAAACGAGCCAAUGGCAACAACGCAGGAGUCAUCCUUGUCACAUGGGUCAACCUCAUCUCUCUUUUUAAACAAGUCAGGCAUUUCCAGCCUCACAGCCCUGCCAGCUCCAUGCCCACAUCCCAGCAGCAGAGUGCAGGGCAGACUCAAUGCCUGGCAAACCCAGCCUGGUCAAAAGCAAAUGACAAAGGAAAAUACCCUUACCAAAAAAAAGGUUAUUUUCUCUUAAGAAAUACUCUUUCCUGCUUUUUAUCUCUGGUUUAGGGUUUUUUUCAUAUGAUUUCAUGGCAUUUCAUUUGUCCUGCAUAUUAUAUGGGAAAACCUUAUUAUUUUUUUUAUUCUGUUUCAUUUUAAAACUAUUAAAACCAUCUGCCACUUAGUAAACACUAACAUACUUUCUUUUCUACAUCAAAGUGUCUCCUGUCUGUGUUGUAAUGGAAGUUUGACGUUAUUUUUUUUACAAGACAGGCAGGAGACACUUUGAUCAGGUGCCAAACUGUUUCACUACAACAAACAGGCAACACUCUGAGCUAGAAAUGAUAAGAUGUUAUUAUGCGCCGUGAUGAUUUCAUGACAUGUCAGCCAUGAUGUUAAAAAACCCUACAGAACAUAUAACUUUAAAAAUAUCACUGUGAAAUUCCAGAUUUUUAAAAAAAUGAGCAACCUAUGAAUUGAAAGCAUUCCUAUUAUAUUUUUCCCCUACAGAUUCAUGACCUUUUUGUAGCAUAAUUGGCCAAUUUUUUGAGUUAUUUUAAUUUUGAUCAGUGUCUCCUGUCAAAAACAUUUAAUUGAAAAAAUUCUGGUGGAUUCAACUUAAAAAGCAUUUUUAAAAAGCCUAUUUAUAGACUAAAUAUUAUUGUCUCUGUCAGAGAACAAAGGAAUCACCUGCUAGCUCUUUUGUCAUUCCUAAAUAAGUUCAUUGCUUGAGGGUUAUUUCAUAUUUCUCAAAUGCACUGCUCCAACCAGCCCCCCAUACAUGUGUACCUUUUAUCCUGGGAUGCAGGGUGACUCCACAGAGAGCCCAUGGCUUUCCAAUAACAGAAAUACUGCAGCUACACACUGUGGAAAAACAAACAAGCUAACAAAACCAUGCACAUUGUAAUUUCUAUCUUAAUUUGCAUUCUGAAGAGAAGAUGAGCUCUUCCAUAGUCACCUGUGCCAACACAUGGACACCACAGACAGGCUGGGUGUGAGUGUGCAGCCCCUGACCACGGGAGCUGCAGGUGGAGCAGGUAAAGUCAACCAGCCUCUCAUCCUCUCACUAAAAGCAGGUUUUCUCCUGCUUUGUCAGCAGAAGCUAUUCCAGCUUUCCAUGUGGACAGUCACAGCUGAGGAAGGGUUGGUUAUCUCUGGUGGACACAGCAGCUGGUGGAGGUGUCUGCAACCCAGGAUAGCAGAAGCAAAGCAGCAUGCACAAGGUCUCACCAGUGGGAAAAGAUGGGCACUCCUCCUCAUCUGAAACUUCCAAAUUAUUUUACCCCAAAUGAGGUGAGAAGCUUCGUGGGCCAAGAGAAAUGUUGCUUCAAAGAAAAGUCCGAUUGGGUAUUAGGAAAAAAACCCCAAACAACAUUGGAAGAUGUUUCCCAGAAAGGCUGUAGAUUUUUUGUCCUUGGAGGUUUCCAAAACUCAGGUGAACACAGUCCUGAGUGAUCUGCCCUCAUGCUGAGAUUAGCCCUGCUCUGAGUGAGAAGUUGGAGCACAUGACCUCCUCAGGUCCCUUAAAGGUUCAGUCAUUCUAUAUCUAUGCUGUUUUGUCCCUGCAGUCAUGUGAUGAAUCCCAGGCCAGUAGAUAACAAGUCUCAGGAUUUCCCAAGCGUGAUCUUGUAUCCUCACCCACAGCAGCAAUGGCAUCUGCUGUGCUGGUGAUCCAGGUUAUCACCUCCCAUUCCAGGCAUGUGCCAUCCGAGGCACCCAACCCUGCUAGGAAAAAGUCCUUGGCUUCCCAAAUCCCUGCAUUUCAAGCAUGCAUUUGAACCAGUCUGGGGUUGAAGGACUCGUAUCACACCACCCAGGGUCAGGCAGACACCCAAGGCAGCACCAGUCCGGGGGCACAGCGAGUUGUUUGUCUAACACAACCACGAGCUGGUGCGGCAUCAACACAUGGAGCACGUCUGAGCACAGCCCAGGCCGCUGCACACCAGGGUUCUGUGUCAGUAUGUGCAGCACAAACAGGCACCAAGCACAGGUCCCUUCAUGUUUGGGUCUGCUUUCAUCCCAUGAUGCUUCAGAUCAGCAGGUGCUCACAGCCUGGAAAAUGACUCUCCAGCAUCAGUGGAACAGCGGCUCAAGAAAAGUUAAGCCUUAGAUCAGCCUCUCAUCUUUUAAAAGCAAAUUGCUCAAAACCAAAAGCCAUAGGAUUGUGUACAUUUGUCAUUUCAACCCAGCAGUAAGUAUUGUAAUGUGCAAUAAAUCAUUAUUCACAGAAUCACAGAAUAUGCUGAGUUGGAAGGGACCCCACGGGAUUAUUGAGUCCAACUCCUGGCCCUGCACAGCACCAUCCCUGUCAGAACCCAGGACAU